GAAAUUCUGCCUUGACCGAUAAAGUGUGGUUUUAUAAUCCAACACUUUUUUAUAGGGAUUCGGUCUCCUUUGGCGGAUUGCAGACCUCCCGCCGCAUUAGAUGUGCGGAGCAACGGACGCAGGGAGCGUGAAACCAAAGGGCUGUUGCCCACCUGCUUUGUGCGGGUUUUAUUCGCCACAUGGCGGCAAGGCGGUAUUUAC
rnacentral:other from 1 species